rnacentral:rRNA from 1 species
UAGGGAAUAUUGCUUAAUGGGCGAAAGCCUGAAGCAGCAACGCCGCGUGGACGAAGAAGGCCUUCGGGUUGUAAAGUUCUUUUAUAUGGGAUGAGGAAGGACAGUACCAUAUGAAUAAGUCUCGGCUAACUACGUGCCAGCAGCCGCGGUAAAACGUAGGAGACGAGCGUUAUCCGGAUUUACUGGGCGUAAAGAGCGUGUAGGAGGCAAUACAAGUUGGAUGUAAAAGCUCUCGGCUAAACUGAGAGAGGACGUUCAAGACUGUAGAGCCAGAGGAAGGCAGAGGUAGAUGGAACUCCGGGAGUAGUGGUGAAAUGCGUAGAUAUCCGGAAGAACACCAGAGGCGAAAGCGGCUAACUGGACUGUAACUGACGCUGAAGCGCGAAAGUGUGGGGAGCAAACAGG